rfam:Ferrimonas marina strain DSM 16917 genome assembly, contig: EK02DRAFT_scaffold00001.1
CACAGUAGUGCCAAACCCGUCGCGAGGCGGGGACGGAAAGCCACGGGUCUCUCGCAGAUAGCCGGGUUGCAUUGU